rnacentral:tRNA from 1 species
GGAGAACCUGCGGCUGGAUCACCUCCUUUCUAAAAGAGAAAUGGUGGCAUUGCAUUCCUUCCGCGAAGGCGGAGCGUCCCUGAUGUGAAUCAGGUCACGUAGGAUGCAAGCGUCAUCUAACCCGCAAGAGCCGUUCCUGACGGCAGGCGCGGGAAUUCUGAUACAAGCCUUCUUUGCUUGAUUGACAUUCGCACGAUUGUCAUGGGCGGCGUAGCUGCUCAGCAUGUUCAACCUUUGUCCUCGAAACCCUUUAGAACUGAAUGAGGAUUGUGAGAGCCGCCGGGCUCCUGGCUAAGUGCUGAAAGAGCCGGCGGGGGAGCGGCCAACGCGGGCCUGUAGCUCAGUUGGUUAGAGCGCACCCCUGAUAAGGGUGAGGUCGGUAGUUCGAAUCUACCCAGGCCCACCAUCUCUGCCGCAGGCACCCGAAAUUGGGGCUGUAGCUCAGUUGGGAGAGCACCUGCUUUGCAAGCAGGGGGUCAUCGGUUCGAUCCCGAUCAGCUCCACCAUUCUUAAUUCGCUGUUUCCCAAUCGCUGCCACCUUAUAAGUGGCGUCGAUUUGGAAGCAGGCCGGCCGAAUGAACAACUGGCUGGCAGGUUUCAACCGCCUGAGGGCGGGCCUUUUCUAUAAGUCGAAAAGGUUUGGAUGUUUGACAACGAAAUUGAUUGGGUAAUGCGCGUCCGCAUCUUAUCCCUCGUACCAAGUGCCGCGAGGCAUCUGGAAGGGUGAGAGUGUGGAUGACGCAAUACAAGGCCGAGCACAAGCAAUGAGUUACUGCAAGUGAGUAAUUCAGGCAAAGUGUUCAAAGUAAGAAGAGUGUCUUUAGGAGUUGUAACUCGGAAGCGCGUGAGCGUAGCGAGUUACUCUCAAGGCGGAUAAUUUAGGUUAUCUCUUAUCAGGACCGAAGCGAUUCGGCUCCCUGCGCUGGAGUUAAUUCUAUGGUCAAGCUACUAAGGGCGCAC